GAGUGAGUGGGGUAAACUGUGUUUGUGCAGAGCAGAGGUAACCUGUGUGCUGGGGCUAAGUCCCUAGGAAGGUUACCCUGGAUUUGCUGUUCUUGAAAACAAACUGAGGUAGCAGUGAACAGGGCUGGUUGAAUGAGGACUGGACACCACCACCACCACCACCACCACCAAGCGACUGAAGAGCUGACCAAAGGGGAGAGCCUGGCUGAAGAGCAAUCAUUCCAUGGUUAGUAGUGACCGCUAAUGAGAAGCCUUUGAGAAGUGGUCUGAUUGCCUCAGUCCAGUUCCACCACCUUGACAUUUGGGCCGUCGUUGCUGAUCUCCCCAGCAGGACCACCGACGGAACGGGUCAUUGACAAGAAACAAAAUGAAUGUCUAAAGAUGGUGCCCACCCAGAAAAAAGUGGGGCACGUCUCUGAGGCAUGAUUCCGAAGGUGAACUCCCAAUGAUGCUGCAGCUCACGCUGUACAUGCCUCUGUGGAUAAUCAUAGAGGACUUCAGUCUGUUGGGAUUUCACUCCAGCCCCUUGAGGGGCUGCGGGGACACAGACUUUCCUUCUGUCUCAGAAUAUGAGCAGUGUAAAAGUGUCAAUGAAAAAGUAAUACAGCCCAGGCCAUCACAUUGUCCCAAUGCAACUGCACUGUCCCUCUGAGCCAUAGACUGAUGUAUUUUCCUGCAGCCCAAAAAGAAGGAACCUCCUGUAGGUCCAGUGAUACUGUGGUCUGUUACUCCUUCCCUUAUCAGCAACAGCUUGUGCACUAGCAGUAAGUGCUUCUAUGUAAGCCAUGCAGGAUUUUAAAUCCAUUUUGCAUCUGAAUCUUCCAAGAUUGUUGGCUACAGCUAAGGCCAAAAAUGUUACAUUCCUUGGCUUCUCUGUGACCUGUUUACUGUCAACUACAUUAAAUUAAUGAGCAACUCUAGUGGGAAGACAGAAUGGAGAGACUGGGAUGAGAAUCAGCAGGGCCCUCUCCAGCUCUGUAGGGCAAGUGCAGAAACUGUGGCAAGAGCCUGUCUACAGCUUGAUAACAAGUGUGGUGCGGCAGAGGCUGUAGUCUUGAAAAACAGCUGAUGCCAAGGAAUACAACAUAUCAUGUUACACCAGAGCUCUACACAAAGUGGCAAGAGACAUUGGCCGAUUGAAGUUAUUCUCCUGAUGAGAGAGGCUACAGCAUCCUGGAGCUCAGCUGCCAAUCAAAAAAGAUGUAUGGGCUAUAUUGUGACAAAAGCUAGUUGAUCUGGAAUUCAUGAGGUCUGGGGUGAAGGGAGAAAUUUGCCUUUUUUUAGGUCUGCUUAUUGAUGGGUUUUGUCUCUCUGGAUUUUCUCUUGAGGACAGCGUAGCCAGAAUAAUGCUGUGAACUAUUCCAAAUGUACUAUAGACACGGGGGAGAAUUCAAUAUGGAAGACAUAUAGCUUAAAUAAGCAACACAUGUUCCUGUGGAAUAGGCAUGUUUCAUAUGUAAUGCUAUAAAUAAAACAAUUCUUUUUCCCCUGCUGAAUGUUCUGACUCUCCGCAGCAAAAACAGGAGCUGCUGCUUGAAACAGACCCGCCAUGUUGCUUAGCAAUGCACGUGGGGAAGGCUCAACUUUUCACCUUCACAUUGCUUUUCAGCCCAGACCGGUAAAUUGAAGCCCUUUGUGCUCUUGUCUAAUGUCUCAGGAAAUAAGGAAGGCCCAUUCGGAUUGUAAGUUGUCUUUUGCUUGUAUUCAAAGCAAAAGGAUCAUGGCAGAAACAGAGAAAUGUGUGAGAGCAUGAGGGGCUGUAAGUGAAAUCCGGGUCCAAUUAAAGUCAGCAGGAGUUGCCCUAUUGAUGUGAAUGGGCCAAAGGUACGUUCAUGAUGUACGAAGUAUGCUCCAGGCCCUCUCCUGAAGGGUGGAACAGAGGCAGCUUGGCUUUUUCCUUUGGGUGAGGCAUUUUGUCCUGCAGUUAUUCAGCAAAUUUCCGCAUCUGGUAAUAUUUGGGUAGCUGUGACAUGUGGGCAAGCCAAAGACAGCCAGAAAAGUAGAGACUCUAACAAUGAGCAAAGCCUGAGACAAAACUGAAGUAGCUUGCAUAGUACUGGCUAUCACAGUAAGCCUAUCAGAGAGUAAUUUGGUUCCUGAUUCCCUUCCAGGCUGGAGGCAUCUGUCACAUACUGGUGGGAUAUCUCAUCGUACACUGAAAUCUGCAG